GACGAACGCUGGCGGCGUGCCUAAUACAUGCAAGUCGAACGCAUUUUCUUUCACCGUAGCUUGCUACACCGAAAGAAAAUGAGUGGCGAACGGGUGAGUAGCACGUGGGUAACCUGCCCAUCAGCGGGGGAUAACACUUGGAAACAGGUGCUAAUACCGCAUAAUUCCAUUUACCGCAUGGUAGAUGGAUGAAAGGCGCUUUUGCGUCACUGAUGGAUGGACCCGCGGUGCAUUAGCUAGUUGGUGGGGUAACGGCCUACCAAGGCUGCGAUGCAUAGCCGACCUGAGAGGGUGAUCGGCCACACUGGGACUGAGACACGGCCCAGACUCCUACGGGAGGCAGCAGUAGGGAAUCUUCGGCAAUGGACGCAAGUCUGACCGAGCAACGCCGCGUGAGUGAAGAAGGUUUUCGGAUCGUAAAACUCUGUUGUUAGAGAAGAACAAGGAUGAGAGUGGAAAGUUCAUCCCUUGACGGUAUCUAACCAGAAAGCCACGGCUAACUACGUG
rnacentral:rRNA from 1 species